rnacentral:snRNA from 14 species
GGAUGUGAGGGCAAUCUGGCUGUGACAUCUGUCACCCCAUUGAUCACUAGUGUUGAUUCGGCUGACCUGGCUGGCUAGGCGGGUAUCCCCUUCCUCCCUCACCACUCCAUGCGAGUCUCUCCAGAAGCUGCAUGCUCAGUUGAAAAGGAUGACCUUCCCCCAUACACAUGGUACCGUUCAUUUGUCAUGGGUAUAUGGUAUCUGCACUCCCCUGCUAAAACCUCCAAAAAAGCUCAAGAUCCAGUUGCAGGAAAACGUACAAUAGUCAAGCUUCCAAGACUGCAGACACAUCCAAGUGAGGCACUGCACAUGGCAGUUUGCCAUUCUUU